GGGGGAGAGACAUGGGAGUCAUUUAACAGGUAAAGGGAGGAGAGAGGGGGAGAGACAUGGGAGUCAUUUAACAGGUAAAGGGAGGAGAGAGGGGGAGACAUGGGAGUCAUUUAACAGGUGAAGGGAGGAGAGAGGGGGGAGACAUGGGAGUCAUUUAACAGGUGAAGGGAGGAGAGAGGGGGAGAGACAUGGGAGUCAUUUAACAGGUGAAGGGAGGAGAGAGGGGGAGACAUGGGAGUCAUUUAACAGGUGAAGGGAGGAGAGAGGGGGGAGACAUGGGAGUCAUUUAACAGGUGAAGGGAGGAGAGAGGGGGGAGAGACAUGGGAGUCAUUUAACAGGUGAAGGGAGGAGAGAGGGGGAGACAUGGGAGUCAUUUAACAG
rnacentral:lncRNA from 1 species